GAUGAACGCUAGCGGCAGGCUUAACACAUGCAAGUCGAGGGGUAACAGGAGGAAGCUUGCUUCUUUGCUGACGACCGGCGAACGGGUGCGUAACGCGUAUAGAAUCUGCCUUGUACAGGAGGAUAGCCUUUAGAAAUGAAGAUUAAUACUCCAUAGAGUAGGGAAGUGGCAUCACUAUCUUACUAAAGAUUUAUCGGUACGAGAUGACUAUGCGUCCUAUUAGCUAGAUGGUAAGGUAACGGCUUACCAUGGCUACGAUAGGUAGGGGGUCUGAGAGGACUAUCCCCCACACUGGUACUGAGACACGGACCAGACUCCUACGGGAGGCAGCAGUGAGGAAUAUUGGUCAAUGGAGGCAACUCUGAACCAGCCAUGCCGCGUGCAGGAAGACUGCCCUAUGGGUUGUAAACUGCUUUUAUACAGGAAGAAACAGUCCUACGUGUAGGGCCUUGACGGUACUGUAAGAAUAAGCACCGGCUAACUCCG
rnacentral:rRNA from 1 species